UGGGGAAUAUUGCACAAUGGGCGCAAGCCUGAUGCAGCCAUGCCGCGUGUGUGAAGAAGGCCUUCGGGUUGUAAAGCACUUUCAGCGAGGAGGAAGGGUAGUGUGUUAAUAGCACAUUGCAUUGACGUUACUCGCAGAAGAAGCACCGGCUAACUCCGUGCCAGCAGCCGCGGUAAUACGGAGGGUGCACGCGUUAAUCGGAAUUACUGGGCGUAAAGCGCACGCAGGCGGUUUGUUAAGUCAGAUGUGAAAUCCCCGCGCUUAAUGUGGGAACUGCAUUUGAAACUGGCAAGCUAGAGUCUUGUAGAGGGGGGUAGAAUUCCAGGUGUAGCGGUGAAAUGCGUAGAGAUCUGGAGGAAUACCGGUGGCGAAGGCGGCCCCCUGGACAAAGACUGACGCUCAGGUGCGAAAGCGUGGGGAGCAAACA
rnacentral:rRNA from 1 species